UCCAUUGUUAAUUUUAAGACGUAUGCGAUUUGAUAGAUGGUUGUUUAAAAAUUUAAAUUUUUUGGCUUAUCGUGCAGGGAGGAAUGAGGCGGUCCAGAAGAGAGUAACUUGGAAGUGACUGAAGCUGAUCCUGAUUGCAAGACCAAGUACUGUUUGAUUUCUAAAAGAGAGGAAAUAGGAAAGAUGUCACAAGAUGGGUGAGUCACGAACUGCAAGAUGUAGUCACGAGAGGGAAGAUGUCACAAGAUGCAAGAGUCACGAGUUAAUUAUUUUUGUGUGUGUACUUGUUACUUGUUUUCGUGUAUGUUUGUCCGUUUGCUUUUGUAAAGUCUCUUGUAGAGUCACAAGAUGUGUCUGCUUGUGUCACAAGAUGUGUCUCCGUAUGUGUCUGCUUGUGUCACAAGAUGUAUGUGUUGAUUGCAUUCUAAAGUUUAUUUUGUACAGU